rnacentral:sRNA from 1 species
AUGUUUAUCUUUUAAAAUGCCGGUUUUGUCGUUUAUAAAUUCAAGCUUUUAUUACUUUGCAGACUUUAAAUGAAGUAAAUACAGAAAUCUAUUUCUGACGUUGUCAAAUGUUCCAUCGAUUCUCGCAGUAGCUCCGUACUUGCUUACGAAUUGACAAAGAUGUAGCGCCGACAUUUUAGCGCGUAUCCAUGUUAUGCACCGAGUUCUUGAUAUGAUAAGUAUUCUUAAAUGGUUUAACUUGUAAAACUAUUAAAUUGACCUUGAAAUUACAUUGUUAUGCCAAUUUUUGUUUCGCAAAAUAACUCUGAAAUUUAUACUCGAAUCUGAUUGGCUACAGGAUGCAGGAUAGGAUAGGAUAGGAUAGGAUAGAACUUAACUUUCACAUUUCUAUCAUGUAUCGUGCAUCCUGCAUCCUAUCCUAUCCUAUCCUUGUCAACUUUCAGGAUAGCAGCACUGUACCGGGUCCUGUGCUGGAGAUUGUGAUCAUUUGGUUAGAACCACUUCAUAGCAAACUAAAAUGAUAAAAGAUAACCAUGCAUUUAUAUUUCUUUUGAAGUGUUACAUGAUAAUAAUUUGUUGAGUUGUGAUACAUUUACUAUAUUGUUGCGUGGGGUGUAACAUGAAAAAAUUCCAAUGGUUUAAAUGCAAGACUAAUUUUGUUUAUUCUGUCUGAUAUUCAUUUAUGUAUUUCACUUCCUUUUGGCAGCUACUUCAACAAUACACAUGUCUGGCUGAACAGGUCAAUGACUUCCGAUUCUAUUGACAUUAUAUACCAGUACAUCGUUAUGUUUAAGAAUCAACCACAAUAUAAAAAGAUUGAAAUCAAACAAGUCUCAUUUCAUGAAGGCCAUGCAUUUUUAUGGAUAUUUUUGUUUUUUAUUUCAAAUUAAUUAUCCAUGGAAUAAAUUUUUAUGUCUUAUACUUUUAUUAUAUAUAACCGGAUAAAUAUUUUUAGAGUUUUACGUGCUCUGUCUCAUUUGUGUGGAUGCAUUUUUAUUUAGACAUCUUGUUAUUCUUUAAAAUAUAAUUAUACAUGUAUUUGUGUUGUCUUAAAAAAUACUGUAUAUCGAUUUUUACCGACACGUGAGUUAAAGAAAAUAAAGUUUAAUUGCAUAGCUC